UACGAAGGGGGCUAGCGUUGUUCGGAAUUACUGGGCGUAAAGCGCGCGUAGGCGGAUUUUUAAGUCAGAGGUGAAAUCCCGGGGCUCAACCCCGGAACUGCCUUUGAUACUGAUCGUCUCGAGAAUGGAAGAGGUAAGUGGAAUACCGAGUGUAGAGGUGAAAUUCGUAGAUAUUCGGAGGAACACCAGUGGCGAAGGCGGCUCACUGGCACGAUACUGACGCUGAGGUGCGAAAGCGUGGGGAGCAAACAGG
rnacentral:rRNA from 1 species